UACCAGCCCUCCGAGUUGUAGGGAUGAUUAUUGGGCUUAAAGCGUCCGUAGCUGGCUUAGCAAGUCUCCUGUUAAUUCAGCGACCUAAUCGUUGAGCCGCGGGAGAUACUACUAGGCUAGGAGGCGGGAGAGGUCGACGGUACUUUCGGGGUAGGGGUGAAAUCCUAUAAUCCCGGGAGGACCACCAGUGGCGAAGGCUGUCGACUAGAACGCGCUCGACGGUGAGGGACGAAAGCUGGGGGAGCGAACCGGAUUAGAUACCCGGGUAGUCCCAGCUGUAAACUAUGCGGGCUAGGUGUUGGGGUGGCUACGGGCCACUUCAGUGCCGCAGGAAAGCCAUUAAGCCCGCCGCCUGGGGAGUACGGCCGCAAGGCUGAAACUUAAGGAAUUGGCGGGGGAGCACCACAAGGCGUGAAGCUUGCGGUUC
rnacentral:rRNA from 1 species